rnacentral:rRNA from 1 species
UCCAACCUUCCUCUCUCCACGGAAUAGCCCGUCGAAAGGCGGAUUAAUACCGUAUGAGGUCACCAGAUGGCAUCAGAAAGUGACGAAAGGUUUGGCGGAGAGAGAUGGGGAUGCGUCCGAUUAGCUUGUUGGCGGGGUAACGGCCCACCAAGGCGACGAUCAGUAGGGGUUCUGAGAGGAAGGUCCCCCACAUUGGAACUGAGACACGGUCCAAACUCCUACGGGAGGCAGCAGUGAGGAAUAUUGGUCAAUGGGCGCAAGCCUGAACCAGCCAAGUAGCGUGAGGGAAGACUGCCCUACGGGUUGUAAACCUCUUUUGUUUGGGAAUAAAGUGCGGGACGUGUCCCGCAUUGCAUGUACCAUUUGAAUAAGGACCGGCUAAUUCCGUG